rnacentral:rRNA from 1 species
CCUACGGGGGGCAGCAGUCGAGAAUCUUCGGCAAUGGGCGCAAGCCUGACCGAGCGACGCCGCGUGCGGGAUGAAGGUCUUCGGAUUGUAAACCGCUGUCGGAGGGGAUGAAAUGCAUUGGGGUACUCCCCUGUGUUUGACAGAGCCUCGGAGGAAGCACGGGCUAAGUUCGUGCCAGCAGCCGCGGUAAUGCGAACUGUGGGAACGUUAUUCGGAAUCACUGGGCUUAAAGGGUGCGUAGGUCACGUCUGAAAUCCCCCGGCUCAACCGGGGAACUGCGCUUGAAACUGGGGUGCUCGAGUGAGGUAGGGGUGUAUGGAACUUCCGGUGGAGCGGUGAAAUGUGUAGAGAUCGGAAGGAACGCCGGCGGCGAAAGCGGUACACUGGGCCUUGUCUGACGCUGAGGCACGAAAGCUAGGGGAGUGAACGGGAUUAGAUACCCCGGUAGUC